rnacentral:rRNA from 1 species
GAUGAACGCUAGCUACAGGCUUAACACAUGCAAGUCGAGGGGAAACGGCAUUAAGUGCUUGCACUUUUUGGACGUCGACCGGCGCACGGGUGAGUAACGCGUAUCCAACCUUCCCAUGACUAAGGGAUAACCUGCCGAAAGGCAGACUAAUACCUUAUGGUCUUCACUGACGGCAUCAGAUGUGAAGUAAAGAUUUAUCGGUUAUGGAUGGGGAUGCGUCUGAUUAGUUAGUUGGCGGGGUAACGGCCCACCAAGGCAACGAUCAGUAGGGGUUCUGAGAGGAAGGUCCCCCACAUUGGAACUGAGACACGGUCCAAACUCCUACGGGAGGCAGCAGUGAGGAAUAUUGGUCAAUGGGCGAGAGCCUGAACCAGCCAAGUAGCGUGCAGGAUGACGGCCCUAUGGGUUGUAAACUGCUUUUGUAUGGGGAUAAAGUCAAUCACGUGUGAUUGUUUGCAGGUACCAUACGAAUAAGGACCGGCUAAUUCCGUGCCAGCAGCCGCGGUAAUACGGAAGGUCCGGGCGUUAUCCGGAUUUAUUGGGUUUAAAGGGAGCGUAGGCUGGAGAUUAAGUGUGUUGUGAAAUGUAGACGCUCAACGUCUGACUUGCAGCGCAUACUGGUUUCCUUGAGUACGCACAACGUUGGCGGAAUUCGUCGUGUAGCGGUGAAAUGCUUAGAUAUGACGAAGAACUCCGAUUGCGAAGGCAGCUGACGGGAGUGCAACUGACGCUGAAGCUCGAAGGUGCGGGUAUCGAACAGG